rnacentral:lncRNA from 1 species
CAUACAUCUAACAAGACAUGUUGAUGUUAUGAUUCUAUUGGACUUGAAGUUGCAUGGAAUUGUGCUCUAUUUCUCCGAAUAGAUUGUCUUUUCCAUGAUAUUUAUGCAAUUUACUUGAUAUUUUUCUAUAUUAUUGAGGUCUGUAGAAUAUCUCAAUAAUCAAAUUGUUUCUUCAGGGUUAUAGGCUUUCAUUGUUCUACUGAUUAUGUCUUAACUUAUGCAUAUUUGUAA